GGCUGGUGUAUGUGCAGUGCUGUUUGCCACUGAUUGAUCACAAUCAGAUACAGGUUUCUUUGUUCCAUCUCCACUUGACUAGCCUUAA
ensembl:misc_RNA Y_RNA Y RNA